UAGGGAAUCUUCGGCAAUGGGGGCAACCCUGACCGAGCAACGCCGCGUGAGUGAAGAAGGUUUUCGGAUCGUAAAGCUCUGUUGUAAGUCAAGAACGGGUGUGAGAGUGGAAAGUUCACACUGUGACGGUAGCUUACCAGAAAGGGACGGCUAACUACGUGCCAGCAGCCGCGGUAAUACGUAGGUCCCGAGCGUUGUCCGGAUUUAUUGGGCGUAAAGCGAGCGCAGGCGGUUUGAUAAGUCUGAAGUUAAAGGCUGUGGCUCAACCAUAGUUCGCUUUGGAAACUGUCAAACUUGAGUGCAGAAGGGGAGAGUGGAAUUCCAUGUGUAGCGGUGAAAUGCGUAGAUAUAUGGAGGAACACCGGUGGCGAAAAGCGGCUCUCUGGUCUGUAACUGACGCUGAGGCUCGAAAGCGUGGGGAGCGAACAGGAUUAGAUACCCUGGUAGUCCACGCCGUAAACGAUGAGUGCUAGGUGUUGGAUCCUUUCCGGGAUUCAGUGCCGCAGCUAACGCAUUAAGCACUCCGCCUGGGGAGUACGACCGCAAGGUUAAAAC
rnacentral:rRNA from 1 species